GACGAACGCUGGCGGCGUGCCUAAUACAUGCAAGUAGAACGCACAGUUUAUACCGUAGCUUGCUACACCAUAGACUGUGAGUUGCGAACGGGUGAGUAACGCGUAGGUAACCUGCCUGGUAGCGGGGGAUAACUAUUGGAAACGAUAGCUAAUACCGCAUAAUAUUAAUUAUUGCAUGAUAAUUAAUUGAAAGGUGCAAUUGCACCACUACCAGAUGGACCUGCGUUGUAUUAGCUAGUAGGUGAGGUAACGGCUCACCUAGGCGACGAUACAUAGCCGACCUGAGAGGGUGAUCGGCCACACUGGGACUGAGACACGGCCCAGACUCCUACGGGAGGCAGCAGUAGGGAAUCUUCGGCAAUGGACGAAAGUCUGACCGAGCAACGCCGCGUGAGGGAAGAAGGUUUUCGGAUCGUAAAGCUCUGUUGUAAGAGAAGAACGGGUGUGAGAGUGGAAAGUUCACACUGUGACGGUAUCUUACCAGAAAGAGACGGCUAACUACGUG
rnacentral:rRNA from 1 species